GGGGUUGUGGCUCAGUGGUAGGGCUCUCGCCUCGCAUGUGCGAAGCCCUGGGUUCGAUCCUCAGCACCA
rnacentral:tRNA from 1 species